AAUUUGAUGCCUGAUUAAAGGAUGGCUUUGAUGAGACCAAUAAUGUUACUUUAGUAACUCAAAUUA
rnacentral:tRNA from 1 species